rnacentral:snRNA from 1 species
AAGAAUGGCUGUGUCUCUCUUGUAAAAAUUGGAACGAUACAGAGAAGAUUAGCAUGGCCCCUGCGCAAGGAUGACACCCAAAUUCGUGAAGCGUUCCAUAUAAAA